rnacentral:rRNA from 1 species
AUACGUAGGGGGCGAGCGUUGUCCGGAAUGAUUGGGCGUAAAGGGCGCGUAGGCGGCCCGGUAAGUCUGGAGUGAAAGUCCUGUUUUUAAGAUGGGAAUUGCUUUGGAUACUGUCGGGCUUGAGUGCAGGAGAGGUAAGUGGAAUUCCCAGUGUAGCGGUGAAAUGCGUAGAGAUUGGGAGGAACACCAGUGGCGAAGGCGACUUACUGGACUGGAACGGACGCUGAGGCGCGAAAGUGUGGGGAGCAAACAGGAUUAGAUACCCUGGUAGUCCACACCGUAAACGAUGGGUACUAGGUGGGGGAGGUAUCGACUCCUUCCGUGCCGGAGUUAACGCAAUAAGUACCCCGCCUGGGGAGUACGGCCGCAAGGCUUAAACUCAAAGGAAUUGACGGGG